rnacentral:lncRNA from 1 species
CACAACCCAGCUCCAGCCCCAAACCAGAAGAAUUUGAUUGCUUUUUUUGGUUACUAUUUUGUUAUAAAAUAUUAGCCUUCUCAAUGAUCUUACAAACUUGGGGGCUGGAAGUCUGAAAUCAACAUGGUUGGAAUUUGGUGAGACUCUAUUCCUAGCUUGCAGGAGGCUGUCUUCUCACAUGUCUUCACAUGGUAGAGAGAGAGAGAGAGCUGGUGAGCAGAGAAGGAGAAGAAGAGAGAAACAGGAAGGUGGAGAGGGGGAAGAAUAAACACCUUCUUUCUGAAACAUCUUUUCCAGCUUCUGUCAACAGCAAAUGUAAUGAGCUUGCUUCUAAGACAUCACUUAGGACACUGAUGAAAAUGCUAAAUAGCUUGUAUUGUUGA